rnacentral:lncRNA from 1 species
AGACCUCAGCUCAACUGGAGACGAGACUGUCUGCACCGUAGCCCAUUACCUACCCCACACUUCCUGUAAUCCCGGAAAGAGGAACAGAGAAAAUGAGAUCAUUAAAGCAAAUAGAAUGUAGACUGCCACAUCAAAUAAGAAGUGAAAAGCCUGUGUUUUCAUCCCAGUGGACCAAGAGGAAAGGAGGAAAGAAGGAAGGAAAGAAAGCAGAUCUACCUUUUUCAUUAAUCCCAUAUUUUUCAGUGAACACAACUCUUCUAACUUCUCUGGUAAAUUCCAAAACCUGCUUUCUGGAUAGUUCCAUGUGAACUUAUCACCACUGCACCAUAUCUAGCAUGCUAUGUGCUACAUGCUAAAUUAAGUCUCUCUUAUCCCAGAA